GACGAACGCUGGCGGCGUGCUUAACACAUGCAAGUCGAACGGAAAGGCCCUGCUUUUGUGGGGUGCUCGAGUGGCGAACGGGUGAGUAACACGUGAGUAACCUGCCCUUGACUUUGGGAUAACUUCAGGAAACUGGGGCUAAUACCGGAUAGGAGCUCCUGCUGCAUGGUGGGGGUUGGAAAGUUUCGGCGGUUGGGGAUGGACUCGCGGCUUAUCAGCUUGUUGGUGGGGUAGUGGCUUACCAAGGCUUUGACGGGUAGCCGGCCUGAGAGGGUGACCGGCCAAAGGGGGAAGGAGAGAAGGGAGAGAGGAGUACGGGAGGGAGGAGGGGGGAAUAGUGGAGAAUGGGCGGGAGUGUGAUGCCGGAGUGGGGGUGGAGGGAUGAGGGGGUUGGGGUGGGAAAGGGGUGUAGAGUGAGAGGAAGAGUGAGGGACGGUAACGGGGAAAGAAGAAGGGGGGAAAUACGUG
rnacentral:rRNA from 1 species